rnacentral:rRNA from 1 species
GCUUGCACCUUAUCUUAGCGGCGGACGGGUGAGUAAUGCUUAGGAAUCUGCCUAUUAGUGGGGGACAACAUUCCGAAAGGAAUGCUAAUACCGCAUACGUCCUACGGGAGAAAGCAGGGGAUCUUCGGACCUUGCGCUAAUAGAUGAGCCUAAGUCGGAUUAGCUAGUUGGUGGGGUAAAGGCCUACCAAGGCGACGAUCUGUAGCGGGUCUGAGAGGAUGAUCCGCCACACUGGGACUGAGACACGGCCCAGACUCCUACGGGAGGCAGCAGUGGGGAAUAUUGGACAAUGGGGGGAACCCUGAUCCAGCCAUGCCGCGUGUGUGAAGAAGGCCUUAUGGUUGUAAAGCACUUUAAGCGAGGAGGAGGCUACUGAGACUAAUACUCUUGGAUAGUGGACGUUACUCGCAGAAUAAGCACCGGCUAACUCUGUGCCAGCAGCCGCGGUAAU